rfam:Aerococcus sanguinicola strain CCTG43001, complete genome.
AAUUUCGGGUAAUCGCGGGUAGUCAUACCUGAGGAAAGUCCAUGCUCACACUGACUGAGAGGUCAGUAGUGUUCGUGCUUAGCGAAAGCAUAAGCUAAGGCAGAGACGGCGGGAAAAACGGCUUCAGCCCUAGGGCUAUGCCCCAGUAUCCCUGAAAAGUGCCACAGUGACGAAGUUAGUUGGGAAACCAGCUAAGUGGAACGAGGUAAACCCCUCGAGUGAGCAACCCAAAUUCGGUAGGGGCACUUGGCAAGCAGAAAUGAAUGUGAGCCGAGGCAGCAAUGCAGAUAGAUGAUUACCGAACUUGCAAACAACCUGGGAUGCAAGGGAACAGAACAUGGCUUAUAGAA